UAUAAAGAAGUGUCUGAGGUAACAGCUGUGUCUGGAUCACUUACACUAAGGUCUUCUGAUGGCAAAGCCUGGAGCUACGAUGCGUGAGAUGCCUUAGCACAAAUGGUGUUCUCUUCUCCUUAGACCUGAAAGCCCCCUGGCUGGCUCACAGUUCCCAUGAAAAUUGCUGCUGAAACUGUCAUCGGAGGCUUGAGUGAGAAUCAGGAGAAAGCAGAAAUGGCAGAGAUGAGUGGAAAUUCAAAGACUUUAAGAACAGAAUGAUGAGCGAGACCAGUGUUACUACCAUAUUUUUCCUUCGCAUUGUAAUCAGUCUCCCAUUUCUGCAAUAUGAAGGAUUCUUCAUGUGAGAAAAUAGGCUACUAUCGCGAGAGUCAGCAAGUAACUAGCUUUCAUUAAAGUCGGAAUCAGAAAUGAUCUUUCAUGGGACAGAGGAUGACUGUGACUUCCUCACCAUUUUUUUUGUAUUUCCUGUAUAUUAUCUGAAGUAGGUUGCUUGUGCCCUAAAUCUGAGCCAUCUCUGUGCUAGUUUUUUGUCGGUAGUACUCAGCAUAGGCUCUGAUUUUUCCUUGGAGCCUCUAUACGCUUGCUGCAAGACAAACAGCAAUACUUCAUAAAUAUAUACAGCAGAAUCAUUGUACAGCUUCCUCUGAACACAAAACCUCAUUAUUUUCACAAGUAAUUCUCAAGUAUUUUGAAUUUUAAGUUGGCAGAUGAGAAUGUAUGGCAUUUAUUUGUUAAAAUUCCACCAUAGAGUCUCUUUAUAAUACCUUUCAUGAAUGUAGCCCACUUUUCAAGUGGGUGAAUUGGCUGCUCGUCAUGUAAACAAUGUGUUAUUGAAAUGUUGAUGCAUUACUCCCAUAGAGUAAACACCUUGGGGAGGUGGGGUGCUGGAUUUGCAAUGCAAACAUAAGGAUGCAGAACUGGACUGCCACUCAGUGGUGCUGGAGAUCAUCAGUUCUUCAGCCACUACCCAUUGGCACUGACGUGGUUGAACACAGCUACAAAAUCAACCAGGGGCAGACAUUCUUCAGUCAAGUUCAACUAAGUGGCCCACAAGGGAGCUGUCUCUGUUGUCCAAGCUAGCAAGAUACAUUUAUGAGCCAGCACCCGUAAAUAAAGAAGGCAAGCUACAUCUGUCCUCCAGCACUUGAGGUCACUGAGCAAUUCCAGAACCACCUCAAUUCUCAGAGGACACGUCUUCUGAGCAGCACAGGGGAUAGAUGGUGUCAUAUCCCUCAUUCUUCUGGGCCACUGAUGGCAUAGCAGCCAUUUACAGCAUUUCUUGGUGGAAAGCAAGCAGAUACGGACCUCUUCCAGCCACAAGAAUGCGCUGACCUUAUGGAAAAAGCUAUGAUUGUGCAUCUGACAAUUAUAAAAAGGCAAGAAACCUCCUUCAUUACAGAUAAUCAGCGAAAGCCAUUUGAAACUUAAAAUUUUACUAGAAGUGUUUAAAUAAUCAUUAAAAUAAUUAUUGUCAAACUUUAUUCCCAUGCAUGCCAUGUGACCCAGCAUUCAGGAUUUUAAGAAAAAUCAAGCGAAC